GGCCGUUCCAAGAUGCUGUCAAAAUUAAAUCAAUAUGGCUACUGGAAGGCAAACAUUGAAUAUUAUUCUAUCAGGUUCUUAUGGUUUUAGAUCAUUUUAGUUGUUGUACAAAGAUUAAUUUAACAUUUUCUCUGGAAGUAUUAAUUUAGAAAGAUAAUAUGCCUCAUUGGUGUUGUGUUUUGAAGUGUGAAAUGCAAAGUAAUCGUGAUAAAGUUAGCUUUUACCACUUACCAUCAGUGCUACAUUCUAAGCACAAAACUGAACCAAUUUAACUAAAUAAGUUAUAGUUAUCAUCUGAGAGACAACAACAAUGGUAAAAUGCAAUAAAAUAUAAAGAUUUUACUAGCAAAAUGGAAAUUCCCCUGUAAUCAUCUUAUAUCUGGUAAGUUACAACAUUUGAACAUUAACGAUUUUUGAAGAUGUUAACAGUCUAAUCUUGUAGGAAAACCAGCCGACUUAACUGAUAAUAACAAUCCAGAUUGGGUUCCUUCAAUAAAUAUGGGGUAUAUAAACACAAUGAAAUGAGUUCCCCAAAAUCUAAAAUGGGAAUUAAGGUACCAAAGGAGAAUUAAAAGAAAAGGGUACCUACAAGAAAAAAUUGCUUUUUUAUUCCUCUUGAAAUGAUUUAUAAGACACUGGACUGUCUUAUAUUCUACAAAUACUAGAAUCAGCUGAGAGAAGUGGUCUACAAAAACCCACGAAGGAAACGGAAUAUGUGGCUACGAAAGGCAAAAGAAAGGUUUACAAAGCAAAUGUGACACAUUUUUUUGAAAUAUUUAGGAAUAUCAGUAAAUUGCAUUAAAAAAAUGUAUGAAAAGAUUUUGUUCAAUAAAAAUGUUUAUAUUUA